UUUGCCCUUUAGAAGUUUGUCAUGUCAGUUCUAUGUGAAUGUACCGGAAAAGUAUGAUAUAAUGUAAUCGUAUAAUACGUAUCAUGCGAGUUAUUCAAACCAUGACCACGUGACUUUCAUUUUCAUAUAAUCUUGAAUUUUCCCUUUGCAUUAAACUACACGUCGGUCAUUUUUAUUAAUGUUAGUUUUAAAUUAUUACUGUAGUAAAUUUACUGGUUUUUGUGGAUUUAACGAACAUAUACCCAUUCGCAUGAAUGGCUUAUUAGUUUGAAUAAGACAUAAUUAGAUAUCAAUUUAUCUGUAUUUGUAUUUUAAACGAUUUGCUUGUGAUGUGAUUUGCUAUUUAACACGUCGAGUGUUAAAGUAUGUUUUUAAUUAAAAAGA
rnacentral:misc_RNA from 1 species